rnacentral:lncRNA from 1 species
UGUCAUCAGAGGCUAGAGAGUUAGUGGACACGUGUAGACUCGCCGAGUCGCCCAAGUGCACUCGACGAGUCAGGUCAAAGUUUGACCAUUGACUUUGUUGACUUUUAGGGAUUGGUCAACAAUGGGGUCUUUGAGUCAAGAGAGGGGUAAAAUGGUCUUUUACUGUCACACCCCAAAACCGAUAACGGCGGAAUACGUUUCGGGGUGGAUGACGUAGUGAACAGUAUCAUCACAAUUGCAUAAUAGUAGAAACAAGAAACAUACAACCAUAGCAUUACAUAGUGAAUUUAAUUACAAGCGUGUGUAGUAAUGUUUAACAAUCACUCGAAAGUAAUUCAAAAAUAAGAGAUGGGUCUUGUGCGCUCCACCUUCUCCAAAAAUGCCGCGUCUGUACCUGUCUAUCUUUGACCUGAAGAUACAAGUUAUUUUGAAAACAAUUAUCAGCAUAAAGCUGGUGAGUUCAUAAGAGUUUAGUGUGAGUUUUUGUAUACAAAGCAUUAGUGUUAAGGUUGUAUCAUUUAUGUUCAUAAGUAGUAGAAACUUAGAAAAUCCCAUAUUUUCCAGGAAAUACAUUGUAAGUGACAAUCUGUGAAAACAUUGCAUUCUUUAUCUCUUUGAAAACAAUUUAUUGUAAAAAUACUUUGGCAAAUCUCCAAAUAACAAAUGUGAUAGGAUAAGUUAAGCCCGUGACCAAUGAUAGAGGUGCGAGCUUCCUUUAGUGAUAGAUACUUCAUUGCAUUCUUUAUCUCUUUGAAAACAAUUUAUUGUAAAAAUACUUUGGCAAAUCUCCAAAUAACAAAUGUGAUAGGAUAAGUUAAGCCCGUGACCAAUGAUAGAGGUGCGAGCUUCCUUUAGUGAUAGAUACUUACUUACUUCGGGAUGUGGUUUAACAUUUAGUGUAGUAUUUUAGUGUAGUUGUAGGGUAUUCCUUGUAUAUUACCAAUAGUGAGGAUAAUAGAGGAUCCCAUGACCUUCCCGGUCAUGCACAGUGUAGUGAAGUAGUGGCAUCCCUGGGCCUGUACGGCGCGGACUGAGUUAACAGUCGGGAUGUAAUAGCGUCUGCCCCGUAUAGAUCUAUACAUGUAGAGUCGUCUCCUGCUGGAACACUCCGGGCGUAGUGAAUAGCGAACAGAGUAUCUCGUAGCGGGUUAGUGUAUUAGUGUUUGUUUAGUGUUUACUCUAUGGUUAUAGUGUAGUAAUCUUUUAGUAUUGGUCAUAGUGUAUUCUCUUACUAGUGUAUUGUCUAGUAAUAGUAAGUAUUAUAGUGUAGAUAGUAAUAACUUUAGCGAGUAGUAGCGGUAGCGACCCUAACCAUACCUAUUAUGGUUAUCUUAGUGGGGAUGUUUCUUAGCACGUUAGUGACUUUAGCAUUAAGUGAAAGC